AGAGUUUGAUCCUGGCUCAGGAUGAACGCUGGCGGCGUGCUUAACACAUGCAAGUCGAACGGUGAAGCCCCGCUUGCGGGGUGGAUCAGUGGCGAACGGGUGAGUAACACGUGAGCAACCUGCCCCUGACUCUGGGAUAAGCGCUGGAAACGGCGUCUAAUACUGGAUACGAGACGUGAUCGCAUGGUCAACGUUUGGAAAGAUUUUUCGGUUGGGGAUGGGCUCGCGGCCUAUCAGCUUGUUGGUGAGGUAAUGGCUCACCAAGGCGUCGACGGGUAGCCGGCCUGAGAGGGUGACCGGCCACACUGGGACUGAGACACGGCCCAGACUCCUACGGGAGGCAGCAGUGGGGAAUAUUGCACAAUGGGCGCAAGCCUGAUGCAGCAACGCCGCGUGAGGGAUGACGGCCUUCGGGUUGUAAACCUCUUUUAGCAGGGAAGAAGCGAGAGUGACGGUACCUGCAGAAAAAGCACCGGCUAACUACGUGCCAGCAGCCGCGGUAAUACGUAGGGUGCAAGCGUUAUCCGGAAUUAUUGGGCGUAAAGAGCUCGUAGGCGGUUUGUCGCGUCUGCUGUGAAAUCUGGGGGCUCAACCCCCAGCCUGCAGUGGGUACGGGCAGACUAGAGUGCGGUAGGGGAGAUUGGAAUUCCUGGUGUAGCGGUGGAAUGCGCAGAUAUCAGGAGGAACACCGAUGGCGAAGGCAGAUCUCUGGGCCGUGACUGACGCUGAGGAGCGAAAGGGUGGGGAGCAAACAGGCUU
rnacentral:rRNA from 1 species